rnacentral:rRNA from 1 species
GACGAACCGUGCGAACGUUGUUCGGAAUCACUGGGCUUAAAGGGCGCGUAGGCGGGUGCUCAAGUCCGGGGUGAAAUCCUCCAGCUCAACUGGAGAACUGCCUCGGAUACUGGGUGCCUCGAGGGUGGUAGGGGUAUGCGGAACUAUCGGUGGAGCGGUGAAAUGCGUUGAUAUCGAUAGGAACUCCGGUGGCGAAGGCGGCAUACUGGACCACUUCUGACGCUGAGGCGCGAAAGCCAGGGGAGCAAACGGG